rnacentral:rRNA from 1 species
AUUGAACGCUGGCGGCAGGCCUAACACAUGCAAGUCGAACGAGUGGCGGACGGGUGAGUCAUGUCUGGGAAACUGCCUGAUGGAGGGGGAUAACUACUGGAACCGGUAGCUAAUACCGCAUACCAUCGGCUUUGCCCAGAUGGGAUUAGCUAGUAGGUGGGGUAAAGGCUCACCUAGGCGACGAUCCCUAGCUGGUCUGAGAGGAUGACCAGCCACACGGGAACUGGGACACGGUCCAUACUCCUAGGGGAGGCAGCAGUGGGAAAUAGUGCACAAGGGGCGAAAGCCUGAGGCAGCCAGGCCGCGUGGAUGUAGAAGGCCUUCGGGUUGUAAACUACGUUAAGCGGGGAGGCGUUACCAGCAGAAGAAGCACCGGCUAACUCCGUGCCAGCAGCCGCGUAAUUC